rnacentral:rRNA from 1 species
AGUGUACGCUGGCGGUAGGCCUAACACAUGCAAGUCGAACGGCAGCACAGUAAGAGCUUGCUCUUACGGGUGGCGAGUGGCGGACGGGUGAGGAAUACAUCGGAAUCUACUUUUUCGUGGGGGAUAACGUAGGGAAACUUACGCUAAUACCGCAUACGACCUACGGGUGAAAGCAGGGGAUCUUCGGACCUUGCGCGAUUGAAUGAGCCGAUGUCGGAUUAGCUAGUUGGCGGGGUAAAGGCCCACCAAGGCGACGAUCCGUAGCUGGUCUGAGUGGAGGAUCAGCCACACUGGAACUGAGACACGGUCCAGACUACUACGGGAGGCAGCAGUGGGGAAUAUUGGACAAUGGGCGCAAGCCUGAUCCAGCCAUACCGCGUGGGUGAAGAAGGCCUUCGGGUUGUAAAGCCCUUUUGUUGGGAAAGAAAAGCAGCAGGUUAAUACCCCGCUGUUCUGACGGUACCCAAAGAAUAAGCACCGGCUAACUUCGUG